UACGUAGGGUGCGAGCGUUGUCCGGAAUUACUGGGCGUAAAGAGCUCGUAGGUGGUUUGUCGCGUUGUUCGUGAAAACUCGGGGCUCAACUCCGAGCUUGCAGUCGAUACGGGCAGGCUAGAGUUCGGCAGGGGAGACUGGAAUUCCUGGUGUAGCGGUGAAAUGCGCAGAUAUCAGGAGGAACACCGGUGGCGAAGGCGGGUCUCUGGGCCGAUACUGACACUGAGGAGCGAAAGCGUGGGGAGCGAACAGG
rnacentral:rRNA from 1 species